UAGGUUUGUUGUACAGGGAGCAGAGAGGAUUUUUGUUUGCAUGGGUGCGAAGGAUUAUUUAGGUUACUGGAGACUUGUACGCUGUACAUUCUGAGAAGAUACUCUACAGGUUUGCUGUGCACAGACCGGAAAGGACCUCUAUUCACAGGGGUACGAAGAGCUAGCUAGAUUUCCAAGAUUUUAUGUACGGUACAGUUUGAGAGGAUACACUCAAGAUUUGCUGUACAGGGUGUGGAGAGGAUUUAUUCGCAUGGAUAUGGAGAGCUGCUUAGGUUUUAUCAGUCUUGUAUGCAGUACAUUUCGAGUAGAUGUUCUAGUGGUAAGGCCCUAGCCGAUUAAGAUGGUCAAAACUGCCCUUAGAGCUUUUUCAAUGGCUCUUGAAUCAUUCGAAAGCUGACCAAGAAAAACCCCUCUGAGUAAAAUUUUAACCCUCUAGCUUGCUCGUGAGGGUAGUUACAGGGUAAAAUAGAUUUUACGCUUUUCGGCGCAUUUUCCGGUCUCAAAUGCAUUCUAAAAUUCUGAAAAAAUCUGACACAUUUCGGAUCCUAAGGCGCAUUUUUGAGAAUACUUUCAAAAUUUUUUGUUGAAAACUGUGGCUGUAAAAAAUGAAAAAGCUCAAAAAAAUCGGAAAAACAUUUUUUCCUCAAAAAUAUGAAAACAUGCUAUUCUACUGUUUGGUUCCCUGAUAAUGUACAAUAGCAGGCAGUGUCGUCAAUUUUUUUAAAAUUUUUUGUUCGGCUGCUUCAUUGUCAAAAACAAUAAAUCUGAAUUUUUUCGAC